rnacentral:rRNA from 1 species
AGGUACUGGAAGGUCCUCAGGCCGAAAGGGGCUCUGCCCGCCCGAGGAUGGGCCGGCGGCCGAUUAGGUAGUUGGUGGGGUAACGGCCCACCGAGCCGAAGAUCGGUACGGGCCAUGAGAGUGGGAGCCCGGAGAUGGACACUGAGACACGGGUCCAGGCCCUACGGGGCGCAGCAGGCGCGAAACCUCCGCAAUGCGGGCAACCGCGACGGGGGGACCCCCAGUGCCGUGGCAACGCCACGGCUUUUCCGGAGUGUAAAAAGCUCCGGGAAUAAGGGCUGGGCAAGGCCGGUGGCAGCCGCCGCGGUAAUACCGGCGGCCCGAGUGGUGGCCGCUAUUAUUGGGCCUAAAGCGUCCGUAGCCGGGCCCGUAAGUCCCUGGCGAAAUCCCACGGCUCAACCGUGGGGCUUGCUGGGGAUACUGCGGGCCUUGGGACCGGGAGAGGCCGGGGGUACCCCUGGGGUAGGGGUGAAAUCCUAUAAUCCCAGGGGGACCGCCAGUGGCGAAGGCGCCCGGCUGGAACGGGUCCGACGGUGAGGGACGAAGGCCAGGGGAGCGAACCGGAUUAGAUACCCGGGUAGUCCUGGCUGUAAAGGAUGCGGGCUAGGUGUCGGGCGAGCUUCGAGCUCGCCCGGUGCCGA